rnacentral:lncRNA from 1 species
UUUCUUUUUUUUUUAUCCUGUUCCUACCUAUACUCAUUCCCAUAUCCUUGAAUUGGGAAUAAUGUUUCCCAUAUCCUUGAAUUGGGAAUAAUGUUGGCUUAAGUAAGUUAAAAUUCACAUCCUUUUGGUUAUUAAAAUAAUAAUGAUGUCAAUUAAAUUGGCAUCUAUUAUUGGUAAUGCAAAGGAUUAUUGGUAGGUAGAUAUAUCCUUCAUUGGUUAAGUAUGGACUAUUAAGAGGGUUUUAUAUAGUAGACCUGCUCAUAGGUAGCGCCACCAAACUCGACCCGGCCCGGCCCAAAAUAUGAGAUGGUUUGAACAAAAAUAUAAGCCCAAAAAAUGCUCUUGGAGAAAAAUAAAGCCUGUUUAAAAAAUAGGCCGACCCUUGGAUAAGGCAUUUUUGGCCUGGGCUUGGCCCGGCCUGAAUUUACUAAAGGGAAAAAAAUAUCUGACUUUUUAAAUAUUAUUUUCUUGUUGUUUUCUCCCUAUUUUGCUACCAUUUUACUAUUAUGUUGUUAUUGUUUGGAUAUUGUAUAAAACUUAUUUUAUUGUUAAUUUUGUUAUUAUUUUAAAGACAUUUGUUAAUUUUGUUAUUAUUUUAGAGACAUUUGCUUGUUAAAUUGCAUCUAUCUUAUUGUUAUUUAAAUAUACAUUUUUUUAAUUUUAUUUUUAAUUUGUUGAAAAAUAUUUAUUUUGAUGUUUUUAGUAUUUUUGAUGUAUUAUAUAUAUUUUAAAAUUAUAUAAAAAUAAUAUAAAAAUUAAUAUGGGUCGGUCGGGUCGGGCCCGGGUUUUAGUAUUUUUACUCGGGUCGGACUUGAGCAAAAAUUUAAGCCCAUUUUUUGGGUUGGUCCGGGCCCAGCAAACGGGCCUGAAUUUUUAGUUAAGCUUGGCUAGAACCCAGCCCGGCUUGGCCCAUGCACACCUCAAUAUAUAGUCUUACUUCUUAAUUUCAUUGAGUAAUUAGGAUAUAGGUUUAACACAUGUGCUUCGCCGUCGCUUGCUUGACCUGGUCCAUGUUAACACGAAUACCACGUGUAAGGCCCAAAUUUUACCCGGGCCCGAUAUAACAAAACCAAGUAACCAAAUAUAAGAGUCCAAUAGCCCAAAUUCAAUAACCAAAACCCAAUUUAUAAACCCUAAUAGCCCAAGCCCACUAUGUUAAAAAAAUUUUCAGCAGCCACCAAAGUUUUCAGCCGCAUGCCUUUAGCCACCAGCCUUCUCACGCGUGCCACCACCGCUCGGGGCGCCAAUCACCGGCCUUCCACGCGUCUGACACUCCCAUGACCUGCAAACAUUUGGAAAAGAGGAAAAAUGGCAGCAAGAAGCACAAGCAGUAGCAGAAAAUAAAACAACAAUAUUUUAAUAUAGGAAUCGGCUAUAAAGCCGAAAUGAAACUGAUUGUAACGGGGACGCACAUUUGAAUCAAAGAACAAAACAAAAUUUAAAGGUUGAUCUCUGAUUUAUUUUUUUUCUUUGUUUUUAUUUCGUUCUUUCAUCUCUUUAAAUUUCUUUUUAUUUAUACUACAAAUCUAAAAAACAAAAAGGGUAUAAAAUCAAAGAAGGGGACUUACCCGAAUCGAAGUGACCGUCGUCGGAGAUCGCUCCUCCGUCGUCGGAUUCGACCCGAAGAGGUCGUAGGGGGUUCCUUCUUUGGAUCUUCUUUGGUCGAGGAAGUUUUCGCUGUUGAGUUCGCCUUAAACAGGGGCUUGAAAGCCCGGUUUACACCCCAACCACCGCCUGUGGUGGCGCUGCGGUGAAGGCGGCGAUGAAGGUUCUAAGAAUCCUAGCCGAAAUGAGCAGGGAGAGGGAGAGAGGGUAAAGGCCCUCUGUUUUCUUUUUUCUUUUUUAAAAUAGAAGUUGAAAUGAAAAAGAAAAAAGAAU